AAGUCGUAACAAGGUUUCCGUAGGUGAACCUGCGGAAGGAUCAUUAAUGAAUAAACCUGGUUGGGUUGUUGCUGGUCUCUAGGGACAUGUGCACGCCUGCCACUUUUAUUAACCACCUGUGCACUCAAUGUAGACUGAUGACGAAACAUCGAGGAAACUCGGAUUGAGGACUGCUGCGUGCUUGAAAAGGGCCCAGCUUUCCUUGUGUCUUCAGUCUAUGUCUUUAUAUACACCCCUUAUGCAUGUAACAGAAUGUAUAGUUAGGCCUAUGUGCCUCUAAAUCUAAUACAACUUUCAACAACGGAUCUCUUGGCUCUC
rnacentral:misc_RNA from 1 species